GACGAACGCUGGCGGCGUGCUUAAUACAUGCAAGUCGAACGGAAAGGCCCUGCUCUUGCUGCGUGCUCGUUUGCCGCACGGGUGUGUAUCACGCGAGUAUCCCCUCCCUGUCUUUCUGAUAUCACUAGGAAACAGCGGCUCUUAUCCCAUAGAAUCUCUUGCUGCAUGUUGGGGGAUGGAAAGAUUCGGCGGUUGUGUAUCGACUCGCAGCUUAUCAGCUUGCUGGUGAGGUAGUGGCUUACCAAGGCUUGGACGGGUAGCCGGCCUGAGAGGGUGACCGGCGACAUUGGGACUGAGGGACGGCCCAGACUGCUACGGGAGGCAACAGUGGGAAAUAUUGCACAAUGGGCGGAAGCGUGAUGCAGAAGCGCCGCGUGCGGGAUGACGGCCUUCGGGUUGUAAACCACUUUCGCAUGUAACGAAGCGUGCGUGACGGUAAUGGGUCAAGAAGCACCGGCUAACUACGUG
rnacentral:rRNA from 1 species